rnacentral:rRNA from 1 species
UACGUAGGUGGCAAGCGUUGUCCGGAUUUACUGGGCGUAAAGAGCGCGCAGGCGGCUGGCCAAGUCCGAUGUGAAAUCUCCCGGCUUAACUGGGAAACUGCAUCGGAAACUGACCGGCUUGAAGGUGGGAGAGGGUAGUGGAAUUCCCGGUGUAGUGGUGAAAUGCGUAGAUAUCAGGAGGAACACCGGUGGCGAAGGCGGCUUUCUGGACAGAUACCGACGCUGAGGCACGAAAGCUAGGGGAGCAAACAGG